CUUUACAUUUGCAGUGGUAUGGCAAGAUCCAAGGAGCUACCAAGAAAUCCCUUCCAGAAUCUCAGAGGGUAGAGAAAUGGCCAUUCGUUCAAGGAUGCUUCAGUGGCCCCUCAGUCAAGAUCCGAGUAGGACCACCAGGAAGCUUCUGCACAGAAAGGUUCAGUGGUCCUGCCACAUGCCAACUUUAGAAACUGUCACACAUCCGGUGAUCUCCUUCUGCUCAGAAGAAAGAUGACGUUCUGUAAAACAGGCUUGGGUGGAAUCCUUGGCACAGAGAAGAAAGCGCCUCAUCCAGGAACAGAAACUCAGAAGACUUUGCAGGCAAAAAGCCGUCCACUGUGAAGACGCACUAAUAUUUCAAUGGCCUAGAGGUUUUUCGGGCAGAAAUCUAUACACCGAAGCUGCUAACAAGCAGUCCGACAGACUGCCCUGGGAGCUUGCUCCUCUGACAACAAACCAGCAGAAAGGUCAGCAGCCGGACACAGAAAGAGGAGAAGGGUCCUGAAUAAACACAGACAGUUUAAUCAACCAUGAAGAAAUCCAAGAGUCGACUGAAAGUGCUUUGUCAGGAGGAGAAGCGAGGCCCCUGCCCUCGGAGAAAGGCGCCCGAGGUUGGAGGUCACUGUAGCUGACCAGAGGCCGCCGUAGUGGAGACCUUGGGGAGACCUCAGGGGACACCAGUGGGAAGACCCAGCAGC